AAGACAUUGAAACAGCAAAUGCUGUGGUCUCUUUUUCUUGUUACAUGAAUGCCGAGGACCAGUACUGCUGGAGCUGGAGGAGCUCCGUCCGCUCAGCGUCGUCCACAUACUACUACUACUAGUCUACUAGCAGAGGCCAGCGGAAGGCAGCGAGGAGGAGAAGAAAGGCGGCAGGAUAAACAAGAGGGGCUGCUAAACGGAUGGGCAUGUCUUUUGGAAGCUGCAAGCUGCCGGAUGAGCAAUACUACAAGCAUUUGGAUGAUGAAAAGAAGCAUUUCUUGGUGCUUAUGUUGGGUGAUUUCGAAGAUUCGAUGAUAAUCCCAGAAGAAGUUGUGCGGCGUUUGAAAGGUGAGAUCCCAGGAGAGAUCAAGCUGGAAACCCGAAAUGGUUACAGUCACACUAUUGUGGUUUCCAAGAACCAAGAAAAGCUUGUCCUUACAGUGGGUUGGCGGCAAUUCAUCGAAAACUAUGAUCUACAGAUUGGUGAUUCCUUAAUGUUCAGAUACAAAGGGACCUCUCAGUUUAAUGUCAUGAUCUUUGACAAGCUUGGUCGUGAAAAAGCAUUAUCGGUUGUUGUCGAUCCUUUUUUGCAUCGGGUCCAAGACACGCGCAACGAGGCACAUGAAAUCGGGUCUUCUAAAAAGAUGGAUGUGCCUUGGGAAAGAUGCAAGAGCCGGACUGAAUAUCACUACGCAAACUUGGAUGAUGAGAAGAAAUAUUUCUUGGUGCAUAUGAUGGGCGUUUUUCAACAUGAGAUGAUCAUCCCAGAAGAAUUUCUUCAGCGUUUCAAGGGCGAAUUCCCAAGAGAGAUGAUACUUGAAACACAAAACUGCCGCAGUUACGUAAUUGGAGUUGCCAAGAACAAUGGAAAUCUUGUCCUUACAGUGGGAUGGGGGAAAUUUGUUGGGCGUUUGGUCUAGAGAUGGGUGACACCAUAGUAUUCAGAUACAUUGGGAACUCUCGGUUUAAUGUCAUAAUCUUUGAUGAACUUGGCUGUGAGAAGGUAUCAUCAGUUUUUGUGGAUCCUUCUCCGCCUCCUGUGCAAGAAAAGCGAACAAGUGCUACUGAUACUGUGAAAGGUUCUCAUUUUCGUCCUCAGACCAUAGAAACGCAGCCAUUUAGCAUAGGGAAAGGGAUGCGAAUGGAGUCACCACGCCUCCAAAUGGAAAUGGACAAGUCAUGGGAAGACAACAACACCGUUUUAAGUGUUUCCUCCCACGAGUCAUCAGGAGAUCCUGUCUACUAUGAAGUAGAAUGUGGGGUACGUGAAGUGCCUGGUUCCGAUUUCAAAGUCAGGAAGAAGAAGGCCAGGCUAUCUUCAAAUCAGAAGGAGCAGUUGAAGGAUGGUUACUUUAUCAGCCACAAGACCAAACUAACUUCAACUCAGAAGGAAAUGGUGAAGCAGAUGGUCCAAUCCAUAUACUCAGAGAUCCCCAUCUUCGUUGCUGUGAUGAGCAAGUGCAACGUUGUUGUAGAAUUCUAUCUGACUUUUCCUAGACACUACGCUAAGAAAUAUCUCACAGAGGAGCCACACAUGUGUCUUCAGCGGCAGGGCCGGAAGUGGGAGGCACGGUAUUGUGAAUACAAUGGCGGGAAAAAGCUCACUAUUGGAUGGAAACAGUUUGUAAAAGACAACAAGCUGAAGAUGGGUGAUAUCUGCCUCUUUAAACUGUUGAGCAAUGAGAGAACCAUGAAGGUCUAUAUCAUCAGUGAAAACGUUGCCAAUUAUCGGGCAGGUCUCCAGAAUGACGCUGACCGGGAAGCGGUGUUCCGGAGAGGGGCUCAUGAUGUGGAUGGAGCGCGUGAUCCCGACUCAAGGUUCCUUCGCACAACUAAAACUGAAGCUAUGGAAGAUGAUGUUGUUUUCAAAACUGAAGACGGUGCCUGAUCGCCCAAGGAAAAAAGCCUGGUGUCUGAACCAAGCGUAGCUGCUGUUUUUCCGCUCUGGGGAAAACGAGCGGUUGUGUCGAUCAUAAGGCCUCGGUUGCGUUUUAGAAACUUGAAAUUCUGGUGCUCCAUCCUGCUCCUUAAUUUGUUCGUUUUCUUCACAGGCUAGCCGCGCACGCGGCCUGGAACUCCUCUAGCUGUAGUUUUAGCUGUGUUCUAGUUUCCUUUUGCGCCCCUGGAUGGUGCUUUUGAGGUCGUGGGUUAUUUCAUUAUCGUGGUGAUACUGGAAUCCAAUCCUUCGUGGCCCUUUGGGGAAAAAAUGGACGCCAAGUGAUCGAGAUGUCAUGUUACCGUAUUCCCUGACGGAGGUAAGACUGGUAAUGCUUUCAUGUUUGUGGUACUGCUGAUUCGUGAAUCGCUAUUGAUGGUG
rnacentral:rRNA from 1 species